GGGGUUGUGGCUCAGCUGUAGAGCGCUUGCCUAGCACGCAUGAGAAACUGGGUUCAAGUCUCAGCACCGCA
rnacentral:tRNA from 1 species